rnacentral:rRNA from 1 species
AGGGGGAAAAAAGAGGAGGUAGUAGUAGAUGGCUUGAAACUUAAAGAAUUUGGCGGUAUUUUAAUCUAACCAGAGGAAUUUGUGUUUUAAUUCGAAAUUACUCGUUUUAUCUUACUUAAAUUUUGUCUGUAUAUCGUCGUAAAAACAAAACUUUAAAGUAAAUGUUUAGAAAUAUUUUAUGAAAAAUUACAGAUCAAGGUUCAGCAUAUUUAAGAAG